rnacentral:rRNA from 1 species
CAGCCGCCGCGGUAAUACAGAGGGUGCGAGCGUUAAUCGGAUUUACUGGGCGUAAAGCGUGCGUAGGCGGCUUUUUAAGUCGGAUGUGAAAUCCCUGAGCUUAACUUAGGAAUUGCAUUCGAUACUGGGAAGCUAGAGUAUGGGAGAGGAUGGUAGAAUUCCAGGUGUAGCGGUGAAAUGCGUAGAGAUCUGGAGGAAUAUCGAUGGCGAAGGCAGCCAUCUGGCCUAAUACUGACGCUGAGGUACGAAAGCAUGGGGAGCAAACAGGAUUAGAUACCCCGGUAGUCCCUGUCUCUAUACA